AACAACAGUUGCUCAUGAAGCAGAGAAAUCUAGCACACCCCAUGAUUCAGUCACAACUUCAGCAACAACAGCAGCCACAACAAAAUGCUUUGCAGUCAUCUCAAUUCCAGCAGCCUCAGCAAAAUGCUUUGCAGUCAGCUUCUAUGUCUAGCCUUUCGCAGAAUCAGUCAUCCUCAGUCCAACAGUCAACACAAUCCAUGCUCAGGCAGCAACAAUUUCAACAGCAGGCUGUUGGUCUUCAUCAACAACCAUCGUCAAUGAUGCAGCAGCAGUUGCUAUCUACACAACAACAAUCACAAGUCUUGCCAACACAGCAGCAGCAACAACAACAGCAACCGAUGCAUUCUCAGCAACAACUAGCGUCUCUAGAUUCUACGGCACAAACUGGACAGACAAAUGGAGUGGAUUGGCAAGAGGAAACCUAUCAAAAGGUUGGUGAAUACUGUGAUGGGUUGGCUCGUCUGUUUAUUCCUUUGGAUUUCAAGUGCCAAUUCUUAAUUUCAUACUAACCGUUGAGUCCACUCUUAAUUUCAUACUAAUCUUCUCAUUUUUCUCAGAUAAAAGCCAUGAAGGAGAUGUACUUGCCUGAACUAAAUGAAUUGAUACAAAAAAUUUCUACAACGUUACAGCAGGUGUGUACUUUCUUAUAUUUGUCAAAUCAGUUUUGUGUACGUUUUUCCAGUCAUUAGCCACUUGCAUCAUUUUGCUCUUCGUUUUUUUGUGUAUAGUUUCUUCGUUUAUUGAUCGAUUGAUGAUUUUUUCUUAGUUUCGGUACUUCAUUUCAUCGUCCCCUGUAACUUAAACUAAGGAACCCGGACUACUUCUUAUUUGUGCCCUAGCUUUGCAUUGAAUUUUACAGAAGCUCUAGUGUCAUUCUGAAAUGCUGCUUUUUAUUUCUUCAGCAUGAUUCACUUUCGCAGCAGCUGAAGUCGGAUCAGCUUGAAAAUUUGAAGAUGUUCAAGACUAUGCUGGAGCGCACGAUAAAUUUCUUACAAGUACCCAAAGAAAAUGUCAUGCCGAGUUUUAAAGACAAGCUUGGAUCCUAUGAGAAGCAGAUUAUGAGUUUCCUAACUACACAUAGGCCGGAAAUGCCUAUGCCUCAAAUGCAACAAGGGCAACUUCCCCUUUCUCAAAUGAACCCUCAGUUGCAACCAAUGACCAUGCAAAGGUCAGUAUCAUCGAUGCAGCAGAACAAUAUUUCAAACAUGCAGCAAUCGAUGAUGAACUCUCUCCAGCCAGGUUCUAAUAUCAGUUCAGGACUAGGAAAUGCGAUGACCUCAUCACAGGGGGUUACUAUGGGAUCUAUACAACAGAACUCUCAAAGUGGGUUGACCAUGUUACAGCAAAGUCAGCAUCUUCAGUCGAAUCUGCAACGGCAGCAACAGCAGCAGCAGCGUGCUGGUUAUCUCCCACAGCAGAUGAAAUCCGGAGUGUCCUUUCCUAUUUCUCCUCAAUUGCUUCAAACUUAUUUGUCCCAGCCACCACAGCUUUCUACUCUGAAAGUUGACCAGCAGAACCUACUUCCAUCACUUCCAAAAACUGGUAGUCCUCCUCUUUCAACUCCUUUACUUGCAGAGUUCUCCGUUCCAGAGAAAUCAGCUGUUUCUGGGAAGUCGGCUGUUACAGACCAUUCUGCCGUGUUAGUUCCAAUGGCUGACAUUGCAGCAGAAGAUUUUGAUGCGGAUUCCGUGUUGGAGGAACUGCGUCAUAUUCGACAGAAGCUACUAUUGAUGGAGAAGAGGUUCAGCCUCGUGCUCGGUACCCUACUUGGGAUUGUGUUGGGAUCUGUGUUUGCUAUCCUAUAUGGUAGUUUGUUUUAGUUUUUGUCCUGCACUUGGUGUUUGCUUUAACUUGUAAUAAUCGAAGGUGACUGAUCUGGAUUUCAAUGAAUUGCUCUGUAUCGGUUCAUUUGUUUGUUGUGAACUGUGGCGGCUGGUCAGUCGCAUGUACUUUUCAAGAGUGACGCCAAGACCCGUUAACUAUAGUCCGGCAAGGAAGAGCCAUCCUUGGUGCCAGCGUCUACGCUGCUCUUGAUCGGCAGUCUCUGUCGUCGUUGGUCGCCGCCAUCCUGCUUGUACUCAUUUGUAGAAUAUGUACCGUUCUUAGAGAACGAGUAUGUGUGAAAAGACUAGUACAAAACGUCGUUGGAAAAAGAAUUUCUGAAGAGUAGCUCCGACAAAGGUGGUCCGGUCGGUGGGCAGGGUGUUUUAAAAACUUGCCGGAAAAUUUUAUGUCCUGCAGAAGUCGCCGCAGCUCCAGUCGCCAGAACUCCCCGUCCGGCCACCGAAGUUAAAAAUUGCCACUAAAAAAUAUUAGUUUAGAAAAUGACUUAUUUCCCCUCAAGGGUAGAGUGUUGGAAUUUCACGGAAUUGAGAAUCCACUUGAAAAAAUCAUGGAAAUUAGAUUGUCAUAGGAAAUUGAAUUUAUGUUUCUAUGCUGAAAAUAAAUUUCAGUCGAGAAUGUUAAAUCAAAAGGGAAAAUUUUAACUUUCUUAUUGUAACAAAAAAUAGUCACAUUUUCGUUAAAUUUUCGACCUAUCGAACAUAAUCUUAUUUGAUUUCGUCCUAAAAUUUCGAAAAUUAUCACUCUAAUUAUAUAAUUACAUGGAUAUCCUUCAAUCUUUCUAUUUUUAAAGCUAAACCUUACUCAAACGAUCAUUUCCAAAAUUGCACCGAUGAAUGACCCGAAGCUUGAAGUCGAAGAUCCUAUCUCAGAGGUAAAAGAAAUUAUUUUAUUUUUUGUAAUUAGCGCCGGCGGCUGACGUCCGGCCAAGAAUAAACAACUCAGAAUUAAAACCACCGCGCCAAAAAGGAAAAAUAUUCAAAUCUCCUCCUCCUCAGUCGUCGGAAGCUUCCGUCGCCACUGAUUCAUUUGCUUUUAUAUCGAGUUUGGACGAUCGCCGACUGUGUGAGAAAACGAUACUGUUAUCACUCUUCCGAUCAGCUACAUCCAUUGACAACAUCGCGGCGUCGAAUCAACGGUCUUUCACAAAACCUUUUAUCGCGCACAAUUCUCUGAGCAAGUCGUAAACCGGACGAGCAGAAUUAUGCGCUUCUGAUCGUUUCUCGUAGAUAUGAUUAAGGAUGCACUGUUCUUAUGUCUGAUCCUAAUUCUUUUAUCCAGUCUGAUUAUUUGCAGAAUAUACCAUUGAAGAUGGUCAAAAUGGAAAGCGAAUCGCAGCUGCCAGCAGGCUACGACAGUAAACUCCCUGAUAUGGAUGGGAAUAAUUUGAUGCCUGCUGUUCAAGUGGGAGAAGCUGCUGUGGAAGGGGGUGACUGGAGAGCUACAUUGCAGGCCGGCUCGAGGCAGGGAAUCAGGAACAAAAUGUGAGUUCAGUGUAGCCAUUAUGAACGACGAACAAGUGUAAAGAAUUCUAUACCUGUGUGUGAAAUAUACUGUCGCCAUUUGGUAACAACUAAUUGUUUUCUCAAGGCUUCUUAAUGUUGGAGAAUGAAGAACAGUUGAUUGAUUACCUUCUUCUUUAGUAUCUAUUAAUUUUUCUAAUCACUGGAGAUCCUGAAUUAUAGAUGUGGCUAUGACUUAUGGUACAGAAUGGACAUAUUGAAGAUGCAUCUACCUUUUUCUGGCGAACAGGGGCUGCAAGAACUAGAGACAAUUGCUGAACGAUUUGAGGGAAAGAUUUAUAAUUCUGCCACUAGUCAGGUUUGUGUUAAUAGGCUGGUGAUGCUUGUAAAACGUCUGCUUCUGAUCGUUUCCCCAUAGAUAUGAUUGAGGAUGCACUAUUCUUAUGUCACUCUAAUUCUUUUAUCCAGUCUGAUUAUUUGCGGAGGAUAUCAUUCAAGAUGCUCACAAUGAAGAGCAAAUCACAGCCGGUUAAUUCAGCAGGCAACAGCAGUAAACCCCCUGAUCCAGGAGUUAAUAUGCAGGCUUCUGUGAUGAUGUCACCUUCUACAUCUAGCCAUCUGCGGAAUCCGUUAGCCUCAGUCCAACAGUCAACACAAUCCAUGCUUCAGCAACAAUUGCAACAGCAACAGGUGAUAUUGAUGCAACAGCAGCAGCAUUUUCAACAAUUGAUGUCUCAUCUUCAGUCACGUCCGGGACAACUGCAGCAACAACUUGGUCUGAACCAGCAGAUUAUUUCUCUCCAAAGGGAGAUGCAAAAGAGGCUACAAGCUUUAGGGCAAUCAAUGAACAUGCAAAGCUCAGUAUCAUCGAUGCAUCCGAACAAUAUGUCAAACAUACAUCAUGGUUUAUCCAGCCAAUUGAUGAUGAACUCUCUCCAGGCAGGUUCUAAUACCGAUUCUGGACAAAGAAAUGCUAUGGCCUCAUCACUGGGGACUACUAUGGGAUCUAUACAACAAAACUCUUCAAGCGCUUCCCAGCAGGCAAAUAUUGGUGGUAUGUCCUCGCAAAGUGGGAUGCCCAUGUGGCAGCAAAGCCAGCAUCUUCAGUCCAAUUCCAAUAUGCUUCAACAGCAACAAGUAUUGCAGUCACAGCAGUUCGAACAGCGACAGAUGCAGUUUCUGCAACAUCAGCAUCAACAACAACUUGGUCCGACCCACCAGAAUAUUUCGCUGCAAAGGGAGAUGCAACAGAGGCUACAAGCUUCGGUUCUACCACAGCAGAAACUGUUAUAUCAAUCAAGUAUGUUUCUUCCAACUCUAGUCUUUUCCAGCUAAGAUUCUGGAGUAUCUCUGUCAUGUUCGUUUACACAAUAAAAAUCAACUCUUACAACCAGUUACCCCUUUGAAAGUGUUGGAACGUCUGGUUUAUGGUGUUAUGCUUGUUGAUUGUGUCAUAUAUUGUUGUUCGAAAAACCAUUAUGUAUGUGUCAUUAAAUAUGCUGACAUUUUGAACAGAUUUAUGGUAUAAUUUAAUCUGUCUCGAAAUUUUGCAACUUCAUCACUAAUCCUAAAUGUCCUCGAGUUAUGGACCUGGUAGCAAAAAUCUUCAUUGAUGCUGGUUUUUGUUGUAGCGUCUCUAGAUUCUACUGAGACAAGUGGAGUGGAUUGGCAAGAAGAAUUCUAUCAAAAGGUUGGAAUUCAAGUGCUAACCGUUGAGUACACUCUUAAUUUCAUACUAAUCUUCUGAUUUUUUUUUCCAGAUAAAAGCCAUGAAGGAGAUGUACUUGCCUGAACUAAAUGAAAUGUACCAAAAAAUUGCUACAAAGUUAGAGCAGGUGUGUACUUUCUUAAAUUCGUCAUUACUCACUUGCAUCAUUUGACCUAACCUGUGUCCUGAUUUCACUUGCAUUGCGCAUUAGCUGGUUGAUUUUUCGUGUAUAGUUUCUUCGGUUUAUCGAUCGAUUGAUGGGUUUUUCAUAGUUUCGGGACACUUCUUUAUACUGUCCUACUUCGUUUCAUCGUCCCCUGCAAUUUAAACCAAGGAACCUGGACGACUUUUUCCGUGUGUCCUAACUUUGCACUCUAAAAUGCUUCUUCUUUUUCGUCUCCAGCAUGAUUCACUUCCACAGCAGCCGAAGUCGGAUCAGCUUGAAAAGUUGAAGAUGUUCAAGACUAUGCUGGACCGCAUGAUAAAUUUCUUACAAGUACCUAAAGAAAAUGUCAUUCCGAGUUUUAAAGACAAGCUUGGAUCCUAUGAGAAGCAGAUUGUGAGUUUCCUGUCUGCAAAUAGGCCGAAAAAGCCGAUGCCUCAAAGCCAGCAUCUCCAGUCCAAUGCCAGUAUGCUUCACCAACAGGAUUAUGUGAAGCAAGAGCAUGAUUAAACCAGCAGUAUCAACAUCGACAGACGCAGUUACAUCAGAUUAUUUCUGCUCUCCUAAUUAGGUAGCAUAGUUAGUAAAAUGCGGUAUGAAUACAAUACAGUAUUAAAUUUUUUGGAGUUUUAUACGUCAUUUUAAUAUUUUGCAGGGCUUUUAAAAGUUUGGUAUCAGGUUUAAAAGUUAACUAGUUUUUCAUUACAGUAUGGGUCACACUAGUUUUUGAUAUCUUGAAAGGUUGUUCCUUCAUUUGUUUCGCAAUAAAAAAACACUUUGUCUCGAUUGUGAUGUGUGUUAAUAUGCCAAGCAUGAAGCAUAGUCGUUUCUUUAAUAUCCAUAGUGAUAUAUGGGGGCUAUCUCGGAUUACCUCUCCUCAAUCGAGCUAGGUGGUUCAUUGUGAUGUUCGAUGAACACACUAUGGGGUGAUAUGGAAAUUUUUCAUAAAAGAGAAGUCUGAAACAAUGGGUAUUUGCAGCAAAUUCUACACCAUGAUCGAAAGAUAAUUUCGCCCUAAAAUUUAAGUGCUGAAAAUCGAUAAUGCACGAUACUACUUCAACUCAUCCAUUGACAAUUUUAUGUCUUCUAAUGGCAUCAUUCGCUCCAACCCGUAUGUGGAGACUCUUGAACAAAACAACAUUGCAGAAGAAUCAUCACCUCCUUGACAUGGCACCAUCACUUAUGUUCGGUUUUCGGUUUUUGGGUUCCUAGGUACCUACAAGAAAGGCUUUCCACUGCAGCCCAUCAAGUUGAAUUUGAAUUUUAUUUUAGAUAUAAAAAUUGGGUAGUAGAUGAAAUUAACGAUUUGUCAAAAAAAAAAGAUGAAAAUAAUGAGGUUCGCUAAAGAAGGAAAAAUUUGAUAGAUCUUUCGGUCAAUUGUUGAAGUUAGAUGACCGUGUAAUCAAAUACAAAUACUUAAGUGAUUAUUAUAGCAUUUAAACCCCUUAAUUUAUUUUCAGUCACCACUUUCGUCUAUAAAAUUAAAACCACCGCGUAAUCCCUUUGUAUCUUUCUUCAUCGAAAAAAAAACAAACCACCGCGAUUUCUCCCUCUCAAUUAGCCCUAACUCUCUUCCUCCGUCGUCGUAGCCGGAAGCUUCCGCCACCACCGUUUCCCCCAUAUAUUUGUCGAUUGUGUGGGAAAACGAUACUGUCUCUCUUCCCAUCAGCUAUGAUCCAUUCCUAUAAUUUGUGGCGUCGAAUCAACGAUCUAUCUGACAACCUUUUACUCGCACAAUUGUCUGAGCAAACUCGUGAACUGGGCAAUUAUAAUUUCAAUAGAGGGUAUUGAUCGUUGUCUCGGAUUUCAAGUUCAGAGAAGCAUAUUUUUUUUGUUUCAAAUUCAGCUAUUGUGAAUUCUGGUUUCCUGUUGCUCGAUGAGCUAAUAGUAGAUUUGCUUGUUUCUGUAUUCAAAUAGUUCUCAGUAACAUGUAUAUUUGUUUUGAUGAACGUGGAAACUGCUAUUUAUGGGUUGUGCAGGAUAUAAUCUGUUAACUUAAUCUGCUUUAUAAUCUGAUUGGGGAGAAUGGAUGGGAAUAAUUGGAGGCCUGCUGCUCCAGGCGGAGAAGCUGCUAUGGAGGGGGGUGACUGGAGAGCUACAUUGCAGACUGACUCGAGGCAGAGAAUCGUGAACAAAAUGUGAGUUCAGUGUAGCCAUUAUGAACGACGAACAAGUAUAAAGGAUCAUGUACCCGUGUCUGACAUAUUCUUAAUUAUGAAUGUGGCUUUAACUUAUGGUACAGAAUGGAAACAUUGAAGAGGCACCUACCCUUUUCUGGUCAAGAGGGACUGCAGGAACUAAAGAAAAUUGCUAUACGAUUUGAGGAAAAGAUUUAUACUGCUGCCACUAGUCAGGUUUGUGUUAAUUGGCUGGUGAUGGUUGUAAAACGUCUGCAUGAAUUUAUUUAGGAAAAUUAUGUGCUUCUGAUCGUUUCCCGUAGAUAUGAUUGAGGAUGCACUAUUCUUAUGUCACCCUAAUUCAUUAUCCAGUCUGAUUAUUUGCGGAAGAUAUCAUUGAAAAUGCUCACAAUGGAGAGAAAAUCAGAGCUGCCUAAUUCAGCAGGCAAUGGCAGUAAACCCCCUGAUCCAGGAGGUAAUACAUAGUUAUAGUGCUCUCCCCGUUCGCAGAUUUUGUGCAUACGUAUUGAAUAAUGUUAUGAAGAAUGCUACAAUCUGCUUAUGCUCUUUAUCAAGUUCUCAUCUUUAAUGGAAGUGUGUCAAGAAAGACGUUAUUUCAAGUACCUUUUGGUUUUCGCUGCUAAUUUUUUGUGAUUGUUGUUUCUCUAAUUCCCAUCUAUAUUCAUUUUGAACAGCAUCCCCUAGUAUGCAGUCCCAAGUUCCCAGUCAAGGGCAACCACUUCCUAUUCCAUUGCCAGCUAAUCAACCUCAAGCACGCCAACAAUUGAUGUCUCAGAAUAUGCAGAACAAUAUGAAUCCUGCUGGACUCCAAAGUUCCGCUACUUUACAAACUCCGCUGCCCCCUGUUUCUGGUAUGAACCAGACUCCAAUCAAUGUCGCCGGCCAAAAUGCUAGCAUGCAGAAUAUGUCUAACAUGGCUCAGAACCCAGUUGCAACUUCAAUAGGCCAAGGGGUUUCAUCGACCGUGUUUGGAAACUCUCAUAGACAGAUGCCUGGGAGGAACCAGGUUAUUGGCCAACAACAACAGCAAUCACAGAAUUCUCAACAGUAUAAUUAUCAGCAGCAGCAGUUCCAACAACAGUUGCUCAUGAAGCAGAGAAAUAUAGCACACCCCAUGAUUCAGUCACAACUUCAGCAACAGCAGCAGCCACAGCAAAAUGCUUUGCAGUCAUCUCAAUUCCAGCAGCCUCAGCAAAAUGCUUUGCAGUCAGCUUCUAUGUCUAACCUUUCGCAGAAUCAGUCAUCCUCAGUCCAACAGUCAACACAAUCCAUGCUCAGGCAGCAACAAUUUCAACAGCAGGCUGUUGGUCUUCAUCAACAACCAUCGUCAAUGAUGCAGCAGCAGUUGCUAUCUACACAACAAC
rnacentral:lncRNA from 1 species